rnacentral:lncRNA from 1 species
UUUCAAAGAGUCUAGUGGUUUUACAUCACAAUGGCAGUGACCCUUUAAUAACUUGCCUUAGUGAUAUUCUUUCAGGGGACAAAAGCACCAUGGAGAAGAUCUGCUACUCCAGACUUAAUCACAGGAAAUUUGGAAGAAUUAAUCAUGCCUAGCAGGUAGCUGAUGGAUAAAGACCCUGCAAAAGAAACUGAGGAGUAUUCAGACAUGUGGGAAGAAAAUAAGAAGAAAACACAAUUAUGGAAGCCAAAGGAGUCUGAGAAGAAAGGAUUGAGUAAUUACACAGAUGGACGGCCUUGACUUGCAUAUACUUCCUAGCUGUGUGACCCUGGGCAAAUCAUUUAACCCAUUUACCUACUUCUUACCACUCUUCUGUCCAAGUCAAUACUUAGUAUCAACUGUAAGACAGAAGGUAAGGGUAUUUUCAAAUGUAAUUUUUAAUGGCUAACAUAUGCAGCUCAAAGCAUGUUUGCCUCCUACUUUGUAAAAAGACUAAGUGAAAUUUUCCUUACCUUUGCCUCUUUGAAUUCUUAAGUAUUCUUCAGAGUUCAGCUAAAACACUGAAUCUUAUAAUGGGGCCCUUUCUGAUUCCCCUCAGAUUACAAUGUCGUUUUUAUCCCCACAAAUAGCUUAUUUUUAUUUGGUCUGUGCUUAUUUAUGUAUAUAUCUCAUCUUCCUCAUUAGUACAAAAGUUCCUUGAAGGUAAGGAAUAUUUCAUUUUGGUCAUAGAACAGUACUUGGUAUGGAGUGGGUGCUUAUUAAGUGGUUGUGGUUUUAUUGGUGUAUUGCUUAUUAUUCCAAAUUUAUAUAGACUUUUUCCAGUAAGAAAUUUCUAGUAAGUAGGAUGUUCCUAAAAAGAAAGGUAUAGAAACUACUUAAAAGAGUGGAUUCAAUCUUCUGAUUACUCCUACUGCCAUAUCUCCCCCCAACCCCAAUCUAUCCUCCAUUCAGCUGCCAAAGUGACAAAAUGCCAACAUUUCCUAAUGUUGGAGGGGAUGUGGCAAAAUUAGGAUCUUAUUGCAUUGUUUGUGGAGUUGUGAACUGAUCCAACCAUUCUGGAGGGCAAUUUUGGACUAUGCCCAAAAAGGCUAUAAAACAAUGAAUACCUUCUGAUCCAGUAAUACCACUACUAGGUAUAUAUCCCAAAGAGACAAAAGGGGAGGGGAGGACCUCCUUAAACAAAAUUACUUAUAGCACCUCUUUUUGUGGUGGCAAAGAAUUAGAAAUUGAGAGAAUGCCCAUCAAUUGGGGAAUGGCUGAGUAAAUUGUGAUAUAUGACGGUGAUAGAAUACUAUUGUGCUAAAAGAAAUGAAGAACAGAAUGAUUUCAGAAAGAACUGGAAAGACCUACAUGAACUGAUGCAGAAUGAAAUAAGCAGAACCAGAAAAACA